GAUGAACGCUGGCGGCGUGCCUAAUACAUGCAAGUCGAGCGAACAGACGAGGAGCUUGCUCCUCUGACGUUAGCGGCGGACGGGUGAGUAACACGUGGAUAACCUACCUAUAAGACUGGGAUAACUUCGGGAAACCGGAGCUAAUACCGGAUAAUAUAUUGAACCGCAUGGUUCAAUAGUGAAAGACGGUUUUGCUGUCACUUAUAGAUGGAUCCGCGCCGCAUUAGCUAGUUGGUAAGGUAACGGCUUACCAAGGCAACGAUGCGUAGCCGACCUGAGAGGGUGAUCGGCCACACUGGAACUGAGACACGGUACAGACUCCUACGGGAGGCAGCAGUAGGGAAUCUUCCGCAAUGGGCGAAAGCCUGACGGAGCAACGCCGCGUGAGUGAUGAAGGUCUUCGGAUCGGAAAACUCUGUUAUUAGGGAAGAACAAAUGUGUAAGUAACUAUGCACAUCUUGACGGUACCUAAUCAGAAAGCCACGGCUAACUACGUG
rnacentral:rRNA from 1 species